rnacentral:lncRNA from 1 species
AGAAUCCUACAGAAUAGCCCAAUUUCUUUCUGCAAGAAAAAGCCUAUUCCUGCCACUCUCCUACCUAAGAAGAGUUUGGGUGUCUGAGCUGGGCUUGGUGGCAGAAUCCCAGAUGCUUCACCUGGGCCAAACACAGCACAAGGAGAUCUCGGUGAUGAAGGGAAGACAGCUCUUAAAUAACCAAUGGCAUACCAGGAAUAUGCUUGUUGCUUCCUAUGUUAAUGAAAAUUGCAAAAUGUUAAUGUGCAAAAUUGAGAGGAUAUGUUCCGUACAUUACAGAUGUAAUAAAAUAUGAAUAGGUAACAGCUACUGUGUACGAUGAACCUAUGAAUGUAGCCUGUUCCUCAAACUUACUUGAUCAC